AUCCAGAUGACGAGUCCCAAAUAGGACGAAACGCGUGUCAUCGAU
rnacentral:hammerhead_ribozyme from 1 species